CCGAAUACAUAAAUUAUAUUAAUUAAAAGACAUAUGAAUACAUUCAUGGCAUAUAGCGAGGCACUGAAUACAAUAAAAUACAUAGAAUCGCAUAGCUGGAUACAUUGAAAUACAAUGAAAAAAAGACAAUGAAUAUAAUGAAAUACAUGAAAUACAGUAAGAUAUACUGAAUUAUAAUAAAAAAAGAUAAUAAAUAUAAUGAAAUACGUGAGUGCUCAUCAAAUUAAUACCAUUGUGGAACGACGAACUGCUACAGAGCCUAUUAUAUAUUCCUAUGAGAUAGAAAAUAAAAAAUGCAGUGAAGAAGCUUUGUGGUGCAUUACUAAUUGAAGCAAAGAGAGAAAUUUGAACUGAAUAAACUGGAGUUGCAGGUUUAUGGGCCGCUGAUCUCAAGAGUUCUGAUGAUGGUUAUUGAAGGAAACCAUGAGAUUGAGCCUCACAUUCCAGUCGUACUUGACAAGAUCUGCUGUUCCUUCAAAGGAAUCUGGCCCUAACAGUAAUUCGUAUUUUGAGGAAAUAGAGGAAGAGAAUAUCAUAUAUUAAAGUAGAGAAAGAAAAAAUAGUAUAACUGAACAUAUUUAGUGGCUUAAGAAUAUAAGAUAAUUAAAAUUAAAUAUUUUACUAUAAAU
rnacentral:lncRNA from 1 species